CCCCACUCACUACGCGCGCACACACAGCCGCCAUGCUGCAGGAGCUGAACGAGCUGCUGGACGCCGCCCCGCAGCGCCCAGACACGGGUAAAUUCACACUGCUGCGAGACAGCAGGACGGAUGGCAGCUUCUUGGUGCACCACUUCCUCUCCUUCUACCUCAGAGCUGGCUGUAAGGUUUGCUUCCUGGCCCUGGUCCAGUCCUUCAGUCACUAUAACAUUGUAGCACAGAAGCUGGUAAGUGUCCUGGCACAGAUUGGUAACUGCGGGCCCUGUAGACAAGCCCACACCUGUGGACGCAGUUUCAGUGGUGCUCUGGGGAGGAAAGCCCUCUGGUAUCUAUGUCCAGGUACAUUCAGAAGGGAAUGCCUGUGUGCUGCUUCUGGCCUCUGGGCAAAGACAUGGAUCUGAGCCAUCUGAGAAGCCACAAGCACCAAUUUCCUUCCCAUGGCGAAUCAGGGAAGGAUUACACGUACCACAGAAUGAGGACACUAAGAACCAAGGCCAUUCCCAGUGUCAGAGCACCCCUCUCACCUGUGGGUUGAAAUGCAUCUCUCAGCUUUUGUGGAGUGCUCUCUUACAGCUAUGGAAUGCUCUGGGUGCAAAAUCCAGGUGACCUCCCAGAGCUGAAGGGAUUGCACUGACUCUGCUCUGCUCUGCUAGGGGCCUCAGCAGUGCUUCAGCUUACAGAGAAGGUACUGAGGAGCCAGGUGCAGUGAUGGUCCGUUCCCCACUCUAAUGCUAGACUGGUUUUAUUUUUAAUACUCAGUUUUCACCUUCUGUUAGGAGGAGAUAAAUGGCCUGAGGGCUCAGACUUAAGUUAACUAAGAUGGACUGAGCAAAAAGCAUUUUGAUGUGAAGCUUUAACUCUCGGUCAGGUACUGAGCGUGAAUUUCCCCUGCAGAGCAUUUCCCAGAGGAGGAAACGUGGGUUGGAGGUUCGGCUGUUCAGUAUGGGAACCUUGGCUGCACUAAAAGCAGAAUCAUAUUUGCUGAUGUGUUCCUGAAGAUGGUGAAAUUUCCCAUUACACAGCUCCAGGGUGUGCUUUUAAUAGGUGGUGGUGUCAUCUCUCUGGUGGGAGAGUCUGAGAAGUGGGAGAACAGAAGGAUUAGCUGGAGCCCAUGUGCAAUGCAAAUCAAAGUGCUUUGCUGUCUGAUGCUUCCAACACAAAGAUUACUCUUGUGAAGGAGUGAUAAGAAGAACAAUGCAGUUUGCUGGGGGAGUUGAGGGAAGGGAUUACAUUUGCCUGCAGCAGUGAGCUGACCCUGUCCUCUUGGUUUCAGGUCUCUGAAUCACUCUUCUUAUAACUUUGCAGGUCUGUGUGUGUGCGAUUGGUGUGAAUUCUUUAAAGCAGUCAGUGGUUCUAUUGUCACUUAUUUGUAUCUGCAUUUCUGUAAGAGCUUUGCUUUAGCCCUUUUCCCAGAUGAUCACGGCAGGCUCUGUUACUCUGUUUUAGCAGAGUGGUUUCACUCAGGCCUGUUUACGACUGGAGACUUGAUGAUGGGAGCUGCCUCUCUUUACAGUCCGGCUGUGCUGCUGUAGCUGCCUGCUGGAGGCAGCUGGGAUGUCACUGCUGCAGUAAGCCCUGGUCUCAGGCACUGCUGUGAGCAGAGCUGUGCUGCUGCUAGGUACUGUGUGCUGCAAACACCCAGCUGGUCCCUCCCUAGCGCCUCUUCCUCACUGUGGAAGCUGUGGACCUGGGCUCACUGUGUUGGCUGGAUGAGUUGCAGGAGGACAGAUCUGUUGGAAAAGGCUGCUGAGCUGCAGCAUUGGCUCCAUGGGUUCAAUCUCCCAUAGCAUUCCUUUCUAGCAGAAGGUUAUGUGCUAAUGAAGGGCUGCAGUCAAACAAGCUGGGGAUGCCCAAAGCCAGGAUGUGAGCUGUGAGCACCUGGGCUGUGGGAGAUGUCCCUGCCCGUGGCAAGGACUGAGGCCCGGUGGGCUUUAAGGUGCUUUGCAACCCAAGCCAGUCUGUGGUUCUAGGAUUGACUCUUUUCUAUCACAGUGCCUACAGAUUUCAGUGCAAGCUGAACCUGGCUAUCGUUGCCAGGCUGGAAAGCGUGCUCUGACCUCCCCAGAGAGUGUGCUGCUGAAGUAUGAUGCAGUCUUUACAGUGCUACCUUGCAGUCCUUGUAGCACCUGGUGGUGUUGCUGCUUCCCAGCAGUGCUGCCAGGUCUCAUCAGACCCUCACAGCUUAGCUAAAUGCAGUUUCCCUGGGAUUUUGUGCCUGUGCUGCCUCGCAGUGCUGCCCUCACACUUUCUUUUUUUUCAAAUUCCACCCUUCGUUUGAGGAUCCACACUUAAUUGAAGGGACAGUUAACGUUAACGUUGUUUGUCGUGACCUUCUAGACAACUGCAGCAGGACUGAUGACACGAGGGCAGCCUACCAGCUGGUGUUCCCACUCUCACUUGUACAAGCUUUGAUAUGUUUUGAAGGAAAAACAGAUUUAUUUCCAUGUGGCCUCCCUCUUGCCUGCUCCCCAUUCCCAGCACUGAGGUUGCAGACCCAAGGACGUUGCCUGCUCGCCCCUGCUGUCCCCUGAGGGUACACAUGCUGGAGAGGAGACCUUGGAUGAGUGCCUGAUCACAGACUGUCGCACUUUGUACCGCGGUGCCGUUCGCCGUUGGAGCUGAUGGAGCUUAAUGGAGCUGCCUCACGUGCUCCAUCAUUCCUUCUCUCCUGCGGAUAUUUUGCUUUCCAUUAUGAAGUGGCCAACAGCAAGCAGCAGGUUUGGUUUGGAGGAACGUCGCGGCUGCAGGCUGCUGGGACCCUGCAGGUGCUGCCUGCCCAGAAGCGUUGCAGGCUCUGCAGCUGUGCCUUGUCGGGAAGCUGUUGGUUCCAAUCUCCCCAGACUGUGAUCUCGGAGGCAUUUCUGGGCUGGAUCGAUGAGUGACAGAUUGCCAGAGAUAAUGUCUGUGCGUGGUGAUGGAGCGCGGUGCUGUGAGAUAAUGAGGGCUUUCAGGGUUGGUAACGCACGCUGCUCGGCGCUGUGGCCCUGCAGCAAGGACGUUUUAGUGCCUCUGAUCCUGCUGGCACUCAAGCAGAUGCCAUUGGCUAUUUUGGGUUCAUUUUCCAUCACCUUUGAGCUGUCCUGGCUCUUUCCUCUGUUGUCCAGGCGGGCCCUGCUGUCCUAGAGCUGAGCUGCCAAGUGUUUCAAGGAGGAGAUGAUGGUUCCUUGCUGCUCUGCUAGGGAAACAGCUGAACUGGGAGGCUGGAACUAAAUGCUCUUUUGAAGUCCCUUCUGACCUGAGCCAUCCUGUUUGAAGUACACAGUUUGCAUGUGCACAGAGCAAAGCAAAACUCCAUUUCUGAGUGACCAACAUGAAGAGUGACUUCAGGUGCUGCUUUGGCAAAGCACUUAACGAUGAGCCUGAGUCCUGUGAGCUCCAGACGUCCAACAGGGGAUCAGUGAGCCUGUUCCUGCAGCCGCCCUGCAGCACAGCCCUGCUUUGUGGCAUGUCAGGUAUUUGCCAGCUGAUCCACAUUCCUGCUGCAUAAAGCUCUUGUGUUCUUGGCGAGGAAUUGUUCCGUGGUGUGGGCUUAUUAUUGCCUAGGAGGCUAGUGCUAGCUCUGCACUCCUGCCCUACUUCCAAUCAGGGUUUUAGUGGGUAAUUAUCACCUGCAAAAGCUGAAUUCCUGUGCCUGAAGCCCACGCGCCCUGACGGAUGCUCCCCUGAGAGCUUCAGCAAAGAGAAGAAAUGUGAUGUAAAUCUGUCAUUCCUAUCAUCAGCAGCAAACAUGUGGCCACUGAUAAGCCUUGCAGAGCUGGGGGUUAAUCUCCUGGAAGGGGCCUCUUCCUUAUCUACUCAGACCUUCUCUCUCUUGGGGUGCUUGUGUGGAAAUGCCAUGCUCCCAAAGCAGCCUCGUAUAGGUAUGUGGCAUUGAUUAGAUGUCUGGGCUGUAGCUUUCCAAUCUACUAAGAAUUUAAAAAAAAAGGAGGAGGAGGUGGAAUGCUGGCUCUCAUGGGUUGAUGUCAGAGUAACAGGAGGGUCUGGCAGGUGGGAUAUGGGGUGGGAACUGGGAGGCAGAAGUGGACAUGUGGCUUUGUGCAUCUCCUUUGUGUGUGAGCAAAGAGCUCAUGGGUGUCACUUGGAAAACCUCUGUAUAGCAAAGGGGGGAGUUGGGCUGGUACCAACUCUGCCCAGCUGUGCUCUGCCCACCUGCAGGGAUCCUUGUCCCAGUGAUCCACUCUCUCAGGAUCCUUGUUUCUGGUUAGAAUCGUGGAGUCAUUUGAGUUGGAAAGGCCACCUAGCCUGGCUCCCCUGCAGUGAGCAGGGAUGUGCACAGCUCCAUUGGGUGCACAGCCUGCUUCCCAGCCUCUGUCUCCCUAGUUUUGCCUCUUGAGCAACCCUGCGCUGAGCUAAAGCUUCCUGAACUCUUAGUUAACCACGUCUCGCCAUUUUGGCCAACUACCUGCUGCCUUGCACAACAGCCCCAUUUCCAGAGGCUUUGUGCUAACGCUCCCCAGCUCCAUUUGAAGAGAUUGCAGUCCGUUGUGAAAUGUGGGAAGCAGCCCACGCUGCACAGCCAAGCAAACUCAUGCUUCUUCCCACAGGGAAACUGGCGGUUUGACCACGGUGAGCUGUGUGAUGUAUCUUGAUGGUUACACAAAGUACUACAUUGUCUCCAAAAAACCAAACUGGUGCAGUUACCAGUAAGCUAAGGAACAACAGAAUUGCCAAAAGUUGCCCUUGAUUAAAAAAAAAAACAAAAAAGGAUGAGGAGCUGUUUUGUGAACUGUGUCUCCAGCUGGGAUCUCCAUUCAGGAUGUUCUGUAUGAAUCUGCUCCACCUCUGCCAGGGCUUUCUUCAUUGGUCCUGGAGGUGCUGGAGCUGAAUGUGCCCUGUGCUUGGCUCUCAAGGUAGAGCAGGAGAUUGGCACAGGAUGCCCAGGGAGGUGGUGCCUCUGGAGUGCUCGAGAGCCAUGGAGAUGUGGCAUGUGAUGACAGGGUC